UACGAAGGGGGCUAGCGUUGCUCGGAAUCACUGGGCGUAAAGCGCACGUAGGCGGCUUACUAAGUCAGGGGUGAAAUCCUGGAGCUCAACUCCAGAACUGCCUUUGAUACUGAAGAUCUUGAGUCCGGGAGAGGUGAGUGGAACUGCGAGUGUAGAGGUGAAAUUCGUAGAUAUUCGCAAGAACACCAGUGGCGAAGGCGGCUCACUGGCCCGGUACUGACGCUGAGGCACGAAAGCGUGGGGAGCAA
rnacentral:rRNA from 1 species